UAACUACGAAAAGAGAUAUUCAACUCGACGAAAAAAACACAAAACCUAAUCGAAAAACAGAGACUUUUCAAUCGAAUUCUAAACAGAUGAGCUAAUUGGGUGAAUAAGAGGAAGACCAAACCUUAUAUCGCUUGUUGAGAGGCCCAUGCGCUUCUUCUAAAUCAUCCUCAGCGAUCUCCAGCUUCACCGGGAGGUCAUCUCGGGACUUGGACGCCAAUUCAGAGUCAGGUCUCGUAACCCCAGAUUUCCUCAUUUCCACCAUCAAAACACGAAACCCUUUCUCCCUGAUCAAAUCCCAGAUUCAGAUUUAACCAAUUCGAUAGCGAAAUCACGAUUACGAAAGAAAAAGUUUGGAUCUUUUUUUUCUCUUCACAGAGGAUUAUCCAGAACGCGAAAGAGAAUCAGCAAACCCUAGAAAAUCAGAUCUAUUUGAUUGAAAAGGAGGAUUCUUUUGGCGGCUAGCGACGCGAGUUUUACGCUUUGUACGCCACGCGCUAUUGUGAUUUGACGGGAAAGGGUUUGAAAAGUCCAAAACAGCCCACCGCUUUGUGUGUGUGAGAGGAGGGCUGAGAUAGUCAUUUCGAUUUCUUAUAAUUGAUUACGACUUAUUAAUUAUUAUGUUUUCUAACUUUGAAAUAACCUCUAUCAUAAAAGGUUAACAUGGGAGAUGUUUAUUUGCAAAGUACCGAAAUGAAUAAAGAAUAUUUUCUUCUGAUAACUGAUUUUUUUUUUGUCACAGAAACUUUUAAUUAAAAACUAAGAAAGAGAUUUGAGCCCAAGGUUGGCCCAAACCCAAAGUCAUUACACAGAUAAGCCAUCGGCUUUUGAGUUUUCCAAUCUAGAUAAAUGCGAGAAAUAAACAGAUGCAAAACCAGAGGAGAUCGAUCGGAUGUUGCUAACGAUGCCGAUGAUUUCUUUUGACUGGAGGUUGCCGGAGAUAGCUCUAACGAGCGUUGGAUUGGUGGAGAGAAACCUGAGUGAUGAAACACAAGGUUUAGCGCCAUGAAGAGUCGCAUCAAGAAUAAACUCUUCAAACGAAUGAGACAUAUCAGGUUUUUGUUACUUGCGAUUUUAUUUCUUUCUUCAUUGUUGAAUAUGGUGCUUGCUCAUUAACCAACCGUGUUCUCUUCUAUAGAUUCCAUGGAGUUUACAUGGUUAAAGGAAAAGCCUUAUUUGCUUUGUGCUGUUAUCAAACAAAUAAUGGCGAUUUGCUGGGCAAUAGCGUUUGUCAGACAGCUUGAAUCGGUGUUGAAGAACAAAUGGUUGAUGCCUCUCACCGAACACCUUUCAAUACAGGAUUUCAUCGACCGCAUCCCUAAGCGACGGCUUCGCUCGGAUGGAGCAGCCAUAAGUUUACGAGAGGUUGGUUUUUACCUCCAAAAGUUUGGAGUUCUCCUUGAAAGUGAAUGUCGUCUGGCCUCUCCUGAGCGUAUUUUUGGUGUCAUUAAUCGACGGGUAAGCAAUAUCCAAUAUCAUACAUGUCAUAAUUUUUUCCUUUGCUUAUUUAACAUUAUCAUUAUUUCCAGGAUAAACGUUUAAGGCGGUGCCCUAAGACAGUAGAAGUUCACUCCCUGCGUGUGUACCUUUACAAGUAUAAAGAAGAUGCUUUUAAGGGGUAUGGUAUCUUCCACUCUCGUCUUCAAACUCUGAUUAAAGAGAGUGGUCUUGUUUCAGUAAAUUUUUUGAGUUAUGAGAGCUACUGGCAAGAAAAAGGAAAGGUAAUGUUAGCUUUCAUCUAUAUUCAUUUUUUCUGGAUUUUAGCGUCUAAUCCUACUUUUUUUUUUCCUAUGGUAGGGUAUUUUCUUCCCUACUGAGGAGGAAAUGAAUUCUCCUCUGCCGACAUGUGGACAUGUAAUUCUCGCCGCAGGUUCCUCUCAUGAUGAGAAUGGGAACUUGUAUUAUCUAUGCCAAGAGUCCGGUGGCACUGAAUUUGGUUUUGAUGGCUACUCUAGAGUCUACGCAAAUUUAAUAAAUGCUUAUGUUGAGAUGUCUGCCUGAGAGAGAGUAACUUAAAUAAGAACAACUUUGUGGCUUUGUCUUUACUUGGUUGAAUGGCUACUACUACUACCUCUCAUCAUUUUGUGAUGUUUUUUUUUUGGUUUUCAAGACUUGUCUACCUUUUGGAGAAUUCUGUUAGUCGCUUUGUGUUUUUUUUUAUUUGUCGGUUUAGUUCAGUCUUCUUCGGUUGAUGAAAUUGAUGGUUAAUGGUGCAUAUGGUGAAAUAACAAAACAAUGCGGCUUAGAGCGACACAAAAAUUAAUUAGAAAUAUAACAACAAACGUUUACUUCAAGACAAAAAGGUUUUGUUUAAUGUCGAUCAAUUUGUUUAAAACAUGCCUAUCCCAGGACUAUAAUACUCACUAAUCUAAAGCUGUUCCUUCUUUGUUAAUUCCAUUGUCGCGUUACUAUUUCUUUUUUUGUUUACGCGUUAAGAUUAGUUGGAAAUUCAUAAAAGCUAGUGUAAAAGCAAUGGAACUUUCAAACCAAGGGUGGUGCGGCUUUAACAAAUUCAAUUUUUUUUUUUUUUAACAAAUUCGAAUUUAAUAUAUUAUUACACGAGGGCUCUUUACCAAAUCUCAUUGUCUAUAUAACAACAUUACCUCUCUCUCUCUCAAAUUAAUCUUAGCAAGAAAAAAGAAAAGGAAUACUGGAAUGAAUCGUCAAGAUUUCUCUCCCAGGCACUUUAACCAAGAGUAAUCUUUAUCCUCUAGUCUCUUUGGUGCUUACGAAGUUGACUUACCAUAUCGAACGAUAUUCCCUCCACCUUUCUCUACCUUUUUGAAAAAACUACCAUUUACGGGAAUUUCCAUCGGUCCAUAGCUAGACUCCAGCUCUUACACAACAGUCACUAACUUUCCGAUUCACCGAUAUACGCCUUCUGCUCCAACCAAAAUCUCCAGAGUCACCACCCUACACCUUUCUGAACAAGAUGACAUAGUUUUGGAAGAAGUACUCUACAAACCCUACUGGCUAAACGUCGCUGAAAACCUCGGAUUAGACCUUGGCGAACUGGAAGAUUACCAACUAACAAAAACGUCUGCUCGAGUCCGAGUACUACUGGAUGGCCUACAGCCAAUCAUCAAGGAAUAUAUUCUAGAACUCCCAGCUGGUGAUGAAGCUCUGCUCACCUUUGAUUAUGAAAAACUGGGGAACCACUGCAGCAUCUGCAACCGCCUCUCCCAUCUACGUUCUCACUGCCCUGAUAGAACUGAUGCAACAAUGCAAAACCCACGAAACCUUGAAACCGUUCUCCCUCAAGAGACCACGAGAAGCACUAGAGGAUCAGCUCCACGUUGCGAACCCCCUCAGGACACAAGGGCAUACGAUCCAAAUAGAAGGGUUGAGCCAGAGCGGGAUCCAUUUCAACAACGAGUAGACAGACAUGGAAGACCUUUUGGACAAAGAGUGGCCACCACCUCCACAACAAGAUUACUCCUGCUUCGUCUACUCGAGUCUCCAGAGAUGAAAGAGACGUACAAACCAAUCAACUGCAAACGGCUUACCCUCACAGAGCUUACUACGGCCACUCUCCCUCCUACUCCACAAGAAGGGAGAACAGAAACAAGUAUGGGAGCAACGACCAAAUUACGAGAGAGACGUCACCUAGGAGAUCACCCAAAGAACAUCAAAACCGGCGAGGGAGAACUCUAACUACAUCAGGGACCGAUCCAGAGGACAACAUUAACACACCCCCACCUGCAACGCAGACCAACAUCUUGCCUGUGAGCAGAAACCUCGAAUCCCAUGAUUUCCUUCCAUUACCACCACUACAACGGAUGAGGUGAUGGGGGAACUACGUGAAGCCACUCUCCAAUACAUCAACUGUGCUGAUCCCACGGAGAGCGUAGCGCGCAAACACAGAGUACAACAGAGUGAUGAGCAUGGUCUCAUGGAGGAAACAGCUCGGAACAUUGUCGAAGGAGCGGCCCACUCUCAAGCAGUAAAGAAAACAGAACCAUGUAAAAUCAGAUCUUGAAAGCACAAUGAAACAACAUGAUAUACCAAAAUUUACAGGGCUCACCUCCCACUUCCCAAUCUUCAAAACAGUUGCGGCAAAGUUCGAAGCUUUAAGCUUCUCAAUACUUCCUGGCGCUAACGUAGCUCCAGCGGAUGCAGCAGCAGUGAUGCAUUUACUUUCUUUCUUAACACCAGAGCCAACUGCAUCAACGGCUUUUUGCGUAAGCCUCAUCUGAAUCAAAUCCGACAAAGAUGGACUCUUCCUAAGGCUUAAUCCAAGAGGACUCGGCUCAUCAAGAGGGUUGUACUUAGCCGGUGCCAUCGACGACGAGCUAGUCCCUGAGCUCCAUAACUACGAAAAGAGAUAUUCAACUCGACGAAAAAAACACAAAACCUAAUCGAAAAACAGAGACUUUUCAAUCGAAUUCUAAACAGAUGAGCUAAUUGGGUGAAUAAGAGGAAGACCAAACCUUAUAUCGCUUGUUGAGAGGCCCAUGCGCUUCUUCUAAAUCAUCCUCAGCGAUCUCCAGCUUCACCGGGAGGUCAUCUCGGGACUUGGACGCCAAUUCAGAGUCAGGUCUCGUAACCCCAGAUUUCCUCAUUUCCACCAUCAAAACACGAAACCCUUUCUCCCUGAUCAAAUCCCAGAUUCAGAUUUAACCAAUUCGAUAGCGAAAUCACGAUUACGAAAGAAAAAGUUUGGAUCUUUUUUUUCUCUUCACAGAGG
rnacentral:lncRNA from 1 species